GGAAUAUUGGACAAUGGGCGCAAGCCUGAUCCAGCCAUGCCGCGUGUGUGAAGACGGCCUUCGGGUUGUAAAGCACUUUCAUCGGGGAGGAAGGGUGUUGUGUUAAUAGCACAGCAUUUUGACGUUACCCUCAGACGAAGCACCGCCUCACUCCGUGCCAGCAGCCGCGGUACUACGGAGGGUGCAAGCGUUAAUCGGAAUUACUGGGCGUAAAGCGCACGUAGGCGGUAUGUUAAGUUGGAUGUGAAAGCCCCGGGCUCAACCUGGGAAUUGCAUUCAAAACUGGCAUGCUAGAGUAUGUGAGAGGGGGGUAGAAUUCCAAGUGUAGCGGUGAAAUGCGUAGAGAUUUGGAGGAAUACCAGUGGCGAAGGCGGCCCCCUGGCACAAUACUGACGCUCAGGUGCGAAAGCGUGGGGAACAAAC
rnacentral:rRNA from 1 species